rnacentral:rRNA from 1 species
UACGGGGGGGGCAAGCGUUGUUCGGAAUUACUGGGCGUAAAGGGCUCGUAGGCGGCCAACUAAGUCGGACGUGAAAUCCCUCAGCUUAACUGGGGAACUGCGUCCGAUACUGGAUGGCUUGGAUUCGGGAGAGGGAUGCGGAAUUCCAGGUGUAGCGGUGAAAUGCGUAGAUAUCUGGAGGAACAUCAGUGGCGAAGGCGGCCUUCUGGACCAGUACUGACGCUGAGGCACGAAAGCGUGGGGAGCAAACAGG